AAUGAAUUAUAUUUAAUGGCCGCGGUAUUUUGACCGUGCAAAGGUAGCAUAAUCAUUAGUCUAUUAAUUGUAGACUUGUAUGAAUGGUUUGACGAAGUAUUAACUGUCUCUUUAAUAAUAUUAUAAUUUAAAGUUUUAGUUAAAAUGCUGAAAUUUUUUUAUGGGACGAGAAGACCCUAUAGAUCUUUAUAUUUUAUUUUUAUCAUUUUUUUUGGUUUAUUUUAUAUUUAUUAAUUAAAAUGUUUUGUUGGGGUGACGUUGAGAUAUGUAUAACUCUUUAUUGUUUUUGAACAUUUAUUUUUGAUUUAUUGACCUUUUAUUAUUGUUAUAAGAUAUAGAUACCUUAGGGAUAACAGCGUAAUUUUUCUUGAGAGUUCAUAUCGACAGAAUAAGUUUGCGACCUCGAUGUUGGAUUAAGGUUUAUAGUUAGGCGUAGGUGCUUAAUGGUUAGGUCUGUUCGACCUUUAAAUUCUUACAUGAUCUGAGUU
rnacentral:rRNA from 1 species